rnacentral:lncRNA from 1 species
GACAUUCAAAAACAGAUUAUGACCAGGGAUGAUAUUUCUAUGGGGGAAGAUAAUUUUGAAGAUUCUCAAAGUAUUAACAGUGUCAACUCUGAAGAAUUAGCAGAGAUUGUAAAAAAGGCAGAAGAAGACAUUUUGCACCAAAGAUAAGGAAAUGAUUCCACGACAAAAGAUGAUGGCUAGUAGGACCUGCUAGGACCCAUUUUUACUUUUUAAAUUUUAACUUUUAG